GACGAACGCUGGCGGCGUGCCUAACACAUGCAAGUCGAGCGAGGAGAUUUCUUCGGGAUGAUCCUAGCGGCGGACGGGUGAGUAACACGUGGGCAACCUGCUUCAUAGAGAGGAAUGGCCUCCCGAAAGGGAGAUUAAUACCUCAUAACAUUGCAGUCUCGCAUGGGACAGCAAUUAAAGGAGUAAUCCGCUAUGAGAUGGGCCCGCGGCGCAUUAGCUAGUUGGUGAGGUAACGGCUCACCAAGGCGACGAUCCGUAGCCGACCUGAGAGGGUGUUCGGCCACAGUUGGACUGGGGCACGACCCAGGGUCCUACGGGAGGCAGCAGUGGCGACUAUUGCACAAUGAGGGAAACGCUGAUGCAGCAACGCCGCGUGAGUGAUGACCGCCUUCGGCUUGUAAAGAUCUGACGUCAGGGACUAUAAUGACGGUACCUGAGGAGGAAGCCACGGCUAACUACGUGCCAGCCGCCGCAGUAAGAC
rnacentral:rRNA from 1 species